rnacentral:rRNA from 1 species
GAUGAACGCUGGCGGCGUGCUUAACACAUGCAAGUCGAACGGAAAGGCCUCUGCUUGCAGGGGUACUCGAGUGGCGAACGGGUGAGUAACACGUGGGUGAUCUGCCCUGCACUUCGGGAUAAGCCUGGGAAACUGGGUCUAAUACCGGAUAGGACAAUGGUUUGGAUGCUGUUGUGGAAAGUUUUUCGGUGUGGGAUGAGCUCGCGGCCUAUCAGCUUGUUGGUGGGGUAAUGGCCUACCAAGGCGUCGACGGGUAGCCGGCCUGAGAGGGUGCACGGCCACAUUGGGACUGAGAUACGGCCCAGACUCCUACGGGAGGCAGCAGUGGGGAAUAUUGCACAAUGGGCGCAAGCCUGAUGCAGCGACGCCGCGUGGGGGAUGACGGCCUUCGGGUUGUAAACUCCUUUCGCUAGGGACGAAGCGUUUUUGUGACGGUACCUGGAGAAGAAGCACCGGCUAACUACGUG